rnacentral:lncRNA from 1 species
UACUGUUCCCUGCUGUCCUGAGGGGGCAGCUCCCACAGCUCUCUGAUGUACAUUCCUUCUGUUGCAGGGCUUGCCUGGUCCCCAGGGCAAUGUCGGCCUCCCAGGCCCACCAGGGCCCCCUGGCCUCGUGGGACCACAGGGCAUGCCAGGACUGCCAGGACAAGUGGGGGAGAGUGGAAAGCCCGGCGUGCCAGGCAGAGAUGGUGUACCAGGGAAGGAGGGAGAGGCAGGGCUGCCAGGAAAAAUGGUACGUGUCUGGAGGGGGCUGGCAGGACAGGCUCCUUGGGUACCAGACACUCCAGUGGGAAGGGCCGUGGCAGCCAGGCUCAAGCUGUUCCCAUCACUUGGGUUCUCAAGUGACUGCACAGGUUGGAAAUGCUGCAUCCCAUUACACUGGGUCUCACCCCCCCGUGCCCUGGCUCUGGACUCUCGGGGCAGUCUCCUGCCUCGGUGAGGCCGGCUCCAGCUGGAGGAGACAGGAGGGCCCUGUGCUGCAGGCUACAGAGACACAGUGCCAACAGCCUGGCUGGUAAUCUGGGGCUGUGUAGCUUUGCCAGUGCAGCCUGGCACAUGGGAG